UGGCUUACUUUGUUAAAGUACCUGUCUAGUAAACAGGAGGUCCUGGGUUCAAGUUCCAG
rnacentral:tRNA from 1 species